rnacentral:rRNA from 1 species
GAUGAACGCUAGCUACAGGCUUAACACAUGCAAGUCGAGGGGUAACGAGAGGAAAGCUUGCUUUCCUUGUUGACGACCGGCGCACGGGUGAGUAACGCGUAUCCAACCUGCCCCCAACUAGGGAAUAACCUUGCGAAAGUAAGACUAAUACCCUAUAAUUUCCUCAGAUGUCAUCUGACGAGGAAUAAAGAUUUAUCGGUUGUGGAUGGGGAUGCGUCUGAGUAGCUUGUUGGCGGGGUAACGGCCCACCAAGGCAACGAUCAGUAGGGGUUCUGAGAGGAAGGUCCCCCACAUUGGAACUGAGACACGGUCCAAACUCCUACGGGAGGCAGCAGUGAGGAAUAUUGGUCAAUGGGCGGAAGCCUGAACCAGCCAAGUAGCGUGCAGGAUGACGGCCCUAUGGGUUGUAAACUGCUUCUAUACAGGAAUAAAGUUAGCCACGUGUGGUUAUUUGUAGGUACUGUAUGAAUAAGGACCGGCUAAUUCCGUGCCAGCCGCCGCCGUAA